rnacentral:rRNA from 1 species
GACUCGUCACACUAUCAUUAACUGAAUCCAUAGGUUAAUGAGGCGAACCGGGGGAACUGAAACAUCUAAGUACCCCGAGGAAAAGAAAUCAACCGAGAUUCCCCCAGUAGCGGCGAGCGAACGGGGAGGAGCCCAGAGCCUGAAUCAGCAUGUGUGUUAGUGGAAGCGUCUGGAAAGGCGCGCGAUACAGGGUGACAGCCCCGUACACAAAAGCGCAU